UACGUAGGGUGCAAGCGUUAUCCGAAAUCACUGGGCGUAAAGGGUGCGUAGGCGGGUCUUUUAAGUCAGGGGUGAAAUCCUGGAGCUCAACUCCAGAACUGCCUUUGAUACUGAAGAUCUUGAGUUCGGGAGAGGUGAGUGGAACUGCGAGUGUAGAGGUGAAAUUCGUAGAUAUUCGCAAGAACACCAGUGGCGAAGGCGGCUCACUGGCCCGAUACUGACGCUGAGGCACGAAAGCGUGGGGAGCAAACAGG
rnacentral:rRNA from 1 species